CAGAGACCUCAAGCGUUAUCCGGAAUCAUUGGGCGUAAAGCGUACCGAUAGGUGGUUUUGGUAGUUUUGGGUAAAAGCCAGAAGCUCAACUUCUGCGUUUGCUCAAAAUACUCCAAGACUAGAGGGACAAAGAGGUUGCUGGAACGAACGGUGUAGUAGUGAAAUGCGUUGAUAUCGUUCGGAACACCGAAAGCGAAGGCAGGCAACUGGGUGUCACCUGACACUGCUAGGACGAAAGCGUGGGGAGCGAAUGGGAUUAGAUACCCCAGUAGUCCACGCCGUAAACGAUGAGUGCUAGGUAUUUGCGAGUAUCGACCCUCGUAUGUACCGUAGCUAACGCGUUAAGCACUCCGCCUGGGGAGUACGGCCGCAAGGCUA
rnacentral:rRNA from 1 species